AGUGAACGCUGGCGGUAGGCCUAACACAUGCAAGUCGAACGGCAGCACAGUAAGAGCUUGCUCUUACGGGUGGCGAGUGGCGGACGGGUGAGGAAUACAUCGGAAUCUACUUUUUCGUGGGGGAUAACGUAGGGAAACUUACGCUAAUACCGCAUACGACCUACGGGUGAAAGCAGGGGAUCUUCGGACCUUGCGCGAUUGAAUGAGCCGAUGUCGGAUUAGCUAGUUGGCGGGGUAAAGGCCCACCAAGGCGACGAUCCGUAGCUGGUCUGAGAGGAUGAUCUGCCACACUGGAACUGAAGCACGGUCCAGACUCCUACGGGAGGCAGCAGUGGGGAAUAUUGGACAAUGGGCGCAAGCCUGAUCCAGCCAUACCGCGUGGGUGAAGAAGGCCUUCGGGUUGUAAAGCCCUUUUGUUGGGAAAGAAAAGCAGCAGGUUAAUACCCCGCUGUUCUGACGGUACCCAAAGAAUAAGCACCGGCUAAGUUCGUG
rnacentral:rRNA from 1 species